rnacentral:rRNA from 1 species
GAUGAACGCUGGCGGCGUGCCUAAUACAUGCAAGUCGAGCGAACGGACGAGAAGCUUGCUUCUCUAAUGUUAGCGGCGGACGGGUGAGUAACACGUGGAUAACCUACCUAUAAGACUGGGAUAACUUCGGGAAACCGUAGCUAAUACCGGAUAAUAUUUUGAACCGCAUGGUUCAAAAGUGAAAGACGGUCUUGCUGUCACUUAUAGAUGGAUCCGCGCUGCAUUAGCUAGUUGGUAAGGUAACGGCUUACCAAGGCAACGAUGCAUAGCCGACCUGAGAGGGUGAUCGGCCACACUGGAACUGAGACACGGUCCCGACUCCUACGGGAGGCCGCAGUAGGGAAUCUUCCGCAAUGGGCGAAAGCCUGACGGAGCAACGCCGCGUGAGUGAUGAAGGUCUUCGGAUCGUAAAACUCUGUUAUUAGGGAAGAACAUAUGUGUAAGUAACUGUGCACAUCUUGACGGUACCUAAUCAGAAAGCCACGGCUAACUACGUG